CCCUGCACUUCGGGAUAAGCCUGGGAAACUGGGUCUAAUACCGGAUAGGAGCCAUUUUUAGUGUGAUGGUUGGAAAGUUUUUUCGGUGUAGGAUGAGCUCGCGGCCUAUCAGCUUGUUGGUGGGGUAAUGGCCUACCAAGGCGGCGACGGGUAGCCGGCCUGAGAGGGUGGACGGCCACAUUGGGACUGAGAUACGGCCCAG
rnacentral:rRNA from 1 species